CAUCAGCAAUUGCGAUUGAAGAUGUGCGAAGGGAGGUGAAAAUAUUGCGAGCCUUGACAGGACAUAACAAUCUAGUACAAUUCUAUGAUGCAUUUGAAGACCACGAUAAUGUCUACAUAGUAAUGGAGUUAUGUGAAGGAGGGGAGCUUCUAGACAGAAUACUUUCAAGGGGUGGAAAAUACUCAGAAGAUGAGGCAAAGGCUGUCAUGGUACAGAUACUGAAUGUGGU